AGAAUGAAUGAGCACCAUUUUCUCCAGAACAAGUUAGUGAAAUACUCUAUUAUUCUAAACUAUUCUCCAUGUUAAGAAUACACUAUAUGCAUUCCAUAUUGCCACAAACUAUGGCUAUAAAUCAGCAGUGGCAGAUUGACAGUAGUUU